GAAGUGGUUUGCGCUAUAUGGCCGCUCGAGCUUUCUCCCAUCUUCAUCUUGUAAAUAUUAAGCUCUCAAUCAGAACUUUUGAAUAACUUUAUAGCGUCCUCCCCAUGAGACUUCUAGCUUAGUGACAUCGCCAACAGACUUCACCCUUUUUCAUACCAAGUCGCCGACUUAGAAUGACCUUGGAAUCACCCUCUGAUUAUAGCUUUCCUUCAUGUGUUGCCGGUAUGCCAUAAGCCGAAUGACGGCCUUAUCUUGGUUUUCAGUGCCUUCACCCUCUGCAUCCGUACAAGUCUUCAGUGGCUUCUCCGCCGUUAAAUGCUUCUGUUUCUCCAUCCCCCUCUUCGCUAUCUUGGUUUUCCACCACCUCCGGUCCUCUCUCAUCGAAUCAGCCCAAUGAUUCUGCCCCACAAGUUUCUUCCGAGCACACUCUUCCGGAGCUUCCUGAUCUUCUUCUCCCUCACCGAAAUCAAAGACUUUGCCUUUAAGUCCACAGUCUUCUUCUCACCCAUCGGAAUCGAAGACUUUACCUUUCUGCUCACAGUUCCAAUCGGCUGAUGCCAGUUGGAGAUCGCCGCGAACAACCAUAAGCAAGCAAAAGCACACGCCUGACACAAGAGAUGGAAAUCCUGAACUCAAUGGGAAAACUGCCAAGGUGCCUGAUUCCACUCACAUUUGAGUCAUGCAUCAGGCCUCGACGAAGCCUUUUAAACCCUCCUUAAAUGCUUCUGCUUCUCCCUUGACCUCUUCAGUCUCAUCCAAACUUCAUGUGGUCACCGAUCAUCUUUCAUCGAAGUGUUCUUCUGUACUCCCUGCCUCAUCAUCAAAUGGGUCUUCUACUCAAGUCUGGAUCAAGCGUCAAUCGACCUUGAAUCACCAUGACAAAUCAUCGCUUUUGUCAUCAACUACUCUUCCAUCAAAUACCUCCAACUUCACAAAUACGUUUGGUUCCUUUUUCCAAAUGAGACAAAUCAUCAUGAUUCUACAAGGAACUACUCAUCCUAGUAGAAUUUAGUUGUCAGGUUUUAGGCUUCUUAUAUCUAGUAUGAUUGGAGGCCGACUUUAUCAAAGAUGUUACAUUAUUUUCAUUUUUUUAGCAGCUGCAUAUUCAGCCUUCAACAAGUAAGAUUCCACUCCAGAGGAAGCAUCAAAACAAUAUGAUGAACGUAUCUAUGGCUUUUUCACUGAUGGGAUAAUUGUAUUAACCUGCUUAUCCCCAAUUGCAAAGGCUAAUCGACAAAAGAUACCAAGUCGUCACAAAAGAUUAAGAGCCUCAUCUUUGUGGAGCAAAAGAUUCUUGGCUCGGUGGUUUGUCAUUGCCAGUGGCGAUUAUGCAGUCAACAAGUGAUUGAUAGACUUGGUUAUUCACAGCUGGGGAAGGAUAAAACACCUGAGGAGAGAAGGAUUGUCAUUUGCAUCUUUGAUGAUGUUGUAGAGCAAUGCAGAGAAGCAGCUCUUAGAUAUUAUGAUACCUACCUUCCUUUCCUUUUAGAAGCAUGUAAUGAUGAUAAUGCAGAUGUUAGGCAGAUGAGGAGUGAUCCUUCCUCUUUCAUAUCAUAUGUACAUGAGCUCUUGCUAUCCAUUCAACACAUAUGCAUAUAACUUCAAUGGAAUAUGGUUGUUAUUUCUAAGUAAAUAUUUCCAAACUGUUGUUUAUGGUGUUGAUAUUUGUGCUGAAUUUGACAGUUCUGUGUU